rnacentral:lncRNA from 1 species
AUUUGAUCGUCUUCUCCGGAUGAGCCCUCUUCGACCAAGCAACCCCCUCCCCCUCGAAGUUUCAUAUUCUCUACAACAAAUACGUUCGAUAGGGAAAGGAUCCGCAACAGUAAAAAAUGAACCCUCUUCCACCCCUCUGCUUUUUCGUCUUCAUUACAGACCUCAUGGGUCUGCUUCUUCUCCAUUCGAACACCAACAAACAUUAGGAGAUAUACAAAUCUAGAGACUAAAACAAGCCAGUUUCAGAACCAAAUCACGACCCCUCCCCGUCACAGGAAAAAACAAGCUCCAGCAGCCCGCCAGAUCGACGAGCUCCAGCUGCGACAAAUAGAACCAAAUGAUCCAUAGCAGAAGCUCGCCCUCCUGAACAUUGUCUUCUUCGUAGAAACUUGAUGCUGGAAAAUGCGCAGCAGUCCCCUCGUCCACAACAACAGCUGCAAAUUUCUCUUCUGAUUAAAAAAGGUUAGUCCUGGUUCUGUUCGUCAAUCCGGCGUCGAGGUGAUACUGGGUUCGAGGCUUGGUCGUGAUUCCGUCGAAGGUCAAUAAAUUUCCAGUCGAGUAUGUCCGUAUCCAGCUUCCAUGACCUUUAUUAGGACCGAUUUUGUCGUCAUUUUUGGCAAUUAGGUAUGUAAAUAGUCAUUUGUGUUUUACUUCAAAGCUAUGAAUGAAAAUUUUGAAUUAUUAAAGCCAUAUUCCUGACUGAUUUUAUUGAUGCAUGAUUGAAUCUAAUUAUGGCUUUGUUUCUUUUUGGUUUGUCGCUCAUUUUGGCAUGUAUGUUUGUUAUAAAUUGGAUUUACAUUUAUGUAUUAGUGAAGCCUUUGUUGUCGUCAUUUUCUUCUGAUUCGUUAAUGAAGUAUGCAAAGCUUCAAGAUUUAGCUUCUGCUUGUGUGGUUUUGUUGAUUGAAUUGAUAUGGUGUGAUGUGUUACUGAUUCGUGUUUGUGAUUAUAGAUCUUGAAUUUCUAUGACAAUACUAAAAGGAUGAAUAUAGAAUGGUGAAUGUUUGUAAUAAUUGUUAUUAGUAAUCUAUUAGUAAUCUUUGGGUCUUGUUCGCUAGCUAACGCAAGAAUGCAGUAAUGCAUUUUUUGCGGUAUCUCUGUUCAUUAAUUAUGCCAAUUUGUCCAUUUGGUUUGUCUUGUAUAAAUUAGAAGCUGGAUUGGAUGUGCAAGAAUUUAGUUUGUGAGUUUAGGUUUCCUUAAUUAAAUAGUGGGGCUCUUAAAAGUAGAUUCCAGGUGUGUCGUGCCGAACAAAAGUCUCAAUUGCAUGGCCCUCGUGUUAAGUUAGUUAUAAAAAUUGUUUAAUAUUUGUAGAAAAACCUUUAGGGCCAUUUAAAAUAUGAUUGUAGUUGCAUAUACGUUCGCGUAACAUGACCAUGAUUCUAAAUUAAUUUAGAGUAUGCGUUCGCGCAACUUCGACCAAUCGUUUCUUAAUAAUAAAAUAGGUUACAAAUUUUAAUUAUUUUUAGUUUACACAAGUUCAUUAAAUCGCAUAGGGCCUUCCUCAUAAUUUCAUAAAUUAGUACAAUAUUGACAAAAUUUCGUAGCAUAUCCUUUAGGGCCAUUUAAAAUUACUAGUGUGAUUGUGUAUACAUCCGCGUAAUACAAUUACACUUCUAAAAAAUAAAACCGGAGUAUGAGUUCCCGUAACUUUGGCCAAAACAUUCUUAAUAAUAAUUAAGCGUUACUAAUUGUGGACAUGUUCGCGUGAAAUGAUUUUUGACGCACCAAACAGGCGGGUAUACGUACGCGUAACCCGUUUCUCGAUUUUUUUCUUAAUUAAAAGCGGUAAAAGAGGUAAAUGCACAUAGGUUCUAAAAUCAGUAAUUAAAUAAUUUUAAUAAGCCAAGUAUGAUCAAAGCUACCCUACUAGAACCACGGAACACGGGAGUACCUAUCACCUUCUCCCCGUUAACAGAAUUCCUUACCCGGGUAUCUGGCUCGCAGACUGUUAAACAGAGUCAAACCUUCCUCGAUUCGGGAUUUAAAGCGGUGACUUGGGACACUAUAAAUUAUCCCAAGUGGCGACUCUCAAAAUAUCUUAAAUAAAUAAAUCUCGUUUCGAUUGUCCUUAAAUUGGAAAAACUCCCUUCUCUACACCCUUUGCGGGGUAGUAGUGUAAAAAGGAGGUGUGACAGCUCUGGCGACUCUGCCGGCGAUCAAACCUACAAUCUAUGAUUCAGAGUUCAAGAAUUUGAGCUUGUUUUAUGAUUUUUACUUAGUUUAUUUAUUGUUGAUAUUAUUAUUCUGUGAAUUUGUGCUAAAUGUUAUGUGUUUACUGCUUGAAUAUUGUUGAAUUGUAUAUAAUUGUCUCCUUACGCCACCCCUCUGAGUCUUCUGAAAAUGGUGCAUAAGUUCGUGUAGCCCACUUUUUCUGUAGAAAUUAUACCAAAUAGAGCGAGGCUGGGCAAGUGACAAGGCUGGGCAGACUUUAGUGCUCCCCGUACGUCGCCCCCAGUUGUCCACUCGGGUACCCCAAGUCUAGAUCAAAACCUAAGAAUUUAAACUUAGAAAAACACAGCUCCAUGUUGGAUCCCUAGUAAGAGUGCAUGUUUGCAUCACGUGCUUGAAUUGGGGGCUCAACAAUAGGGUUGGGUCCGUCUAGGACAGGUGUAUACAAAAUAAAAGACCAUCCUGAUGCAUCCUAUGUGCUACAUGUUGCAUUUAUUCAAGGGCAAAAAGGUCAUUUGGCAGACCAAUGAUAGCUGAGGGCAAAUGAAAAAAUUAAAAAAAAUAAUGAAAAAGAAAAGAAAAAAAAAAGAAGAGGUUGAAGUUUGAAUAUAAAGCGAGUGGGGCCCAAUUAUGUUUUCUGUCACAUUUUGUUAAGAAAAAAGAGCUUGGAAAAUUCAAAAGAUUUUGCACUUUUUAUCAUUUUUCAAAAAUCAGAAAAUCAAAAAAAAAAGAAAAAGAAAAUCCAAAAGAGAUUUUGCAUGUUUCAUCAUUUCUCAAGAAAAAGCAAAAAAAAAAGAAAAAAAAUAAAUAUGUUUUUCUAAAUUAGUUAUUUUUUAUUUUUAUUUCUCUCCUGUAUCCAAUCUUCCCGAACUACGCAAAUCUGAUUCUCGUCUUUCGGAUCACUAUAUGUAGGCAAUCCACAUAUGGUCCGGUCUUCCUAGUAAAUCUUAGGUUCUUGGCUUUGCGGGGUCUCAGCCAAAUUUUGCACCUCUAGCCAUUUUAGGUUAAAUAAGUUAUUUUGCAAAAGUAAUUGCAACCAUAUGUUGUAUGUGUCUAAUAGGGAAUGUUAUUGUCUCACAUAGUGUUGGUUUAAGUUUUUUUCAUACAGGUAUGGAUCCACUUAUCCGAGUUUGAGCAUGACAGAUACUCAAGGACCACUGCAUUUAGGAGUUGCUUAAGGAGAUUUAUUUUUAUUUUUAUUUUUAUUUUUGAGUAUGCUUUUUUUAUGUCAUCUUUUACUUUCUAGUUUUGUACAGUAAUGUCAAGCUUUUAGUUAUUGUACUUUGUAUUUUGUAUUUAAAAAUGUGUUGUAACUCAAAUAUCCAAAAAAUAAAAGAGACUUUGCCUUUU